GGACAUGCCAAAUCCAUUGAUAUGACCACUUCAAAAAACUUUUUCAAAGCUAGGAAUCAUGAUUUUUUUUAAAUUUCUCCAGGGAUACUUUGUUUUCUGCUCUCUAGACUCCCCCUCACAUCUCUAGAAUAUAGACCUUACUGGGGUAUGGUAACACUUUGUGAUGCUUCAGUCAUCUGCUCACGGCUUCCCCCCCCCCUAAAAUUUCUGGCACCAUGCACCACAGUAAAAAAUAUGAAAAUCUGUCUAUGUUAAAAAGACAGACGAGUAUUAAUUUUAUGACUUAUUAUUUAUAAUAUAAUUAAUUUAUAAUAUAAUUC